UGUAAUUUUAACCCUCUCCUUUUUCUUUUUUUUUUUGUUUUUUUAAAGUCUUUUUAUACUCUUUGUUUCAUCGUACAACGCGUUUCCCCGUGUAUUUUCAAUUUUCAGUAUUUAAAAAGGGAAACCCAAACCCCCGAGGCUUUAAUAUGGGAAAAAAAAAAUAAAAAAAGAAUCUCGAUGCCGACUUUAUGACCGAGAAACCGACUCAGCCAAUUUCCCGAUUUUCUCAACCAGCACAGGUGACAAUUUUUUAGCCGGUUUCCUUUCCUUUUCCGGUCGAAAAUCAAACCCUAAUGCGUCCGAAACUUCUUCGGAGCUCCACCCAGCCUUUCGGAGGGAGUCGGAGAACCGAUCCGCUUUCAAGAGUAAAGCGUCUAGGACUGCUUGAUUAUCUAACAUAACCAUCUCCCCCUCGAAGAAACCGGAUGCUGACACGUGGACGAUCUCGGCUAUGUCAGCUUCGCUCCAACCGCCAUCUCUCAAAACUGACCCGAUUUGCACUAUGUACUCAUCCACCCAUUUUGGCAUCUCCGAUCUCGGCAUAUCGAAAAACCGCUCCGGCGACGAUGAAUCUGAUGAUGAAGACGCCGAGUUUCGCCUCCGACGGUCAACUGCUGCGUCGCUCCAGAACUCCACCCAUCUGGGGGUUCUCGCUCCGUUAGCUGUGCCCAUAUCCAAGCUUCUACGUGGAUAAUUUGUUGAAGAACCGGCCGAUUUCUCGCUAACGGAUCUUUGCUUCUUUAGAAGUAUGGGGUCAGACUCGGAGCACCGGAAGAGGGACUCACGGUCGAAAAAAUCAGAUAGAUCCAAACCGCAGCAGAAAAUCCGAUUCUCAUCGACGAAAAAGAUGGGGUUACCAGCCAAAGAAGGUUGACAGGGAAUGUAACAAUGGUUGAAAAUUGGAAUCAAAAGUGGAGCUCUCUUCAGUGCAUUUCUUGCCACCCUCAAUGCCUUUUCCGGGUCGGAUGGUCUGGGACCCCAUGACUUGGACCAGAGGGUGUUGCGUGCGAUUUGAAAUGAGAUAGCAGCGAUAGGAAGAUCAAGCGAGGCACGGAGAUGGAGGCGAGCACCGCCUGAGCGCCAAUCCGGGAAGCCAGGACCAACAGGCAAACCAGCGGAGAGUACGGCGCGAAGAUCGGGAGGGAAAGCGAAGCCAAACUCUGCUUCAGCCCGAGCGAACUCAGCGUCAGAAAGACCCGGCUGAACUUGGAUACCUGAGUUACGUAAAUGGGUUAUAACUUUGUCAGCCAGAGAAGAGAAAGAGACAAGACCGUUACGGACAGGAAGAGAAGAAGCUGUUGAAGGAGCAGCAGCUCGGGCAGAAAGACGGCGAAGGCCAGCUAUAUGAGCCGGAUUGAGACCGGUCAUCCUCCGGUCAACGUCGACCAUUGUGUGAGCCAAAAAAAAAAAAAUCUGCAGGGUUCCUGUAAGUCACUGCACUUACAGUCUCCGGAGGGUGAAAAGAAACUGAAGUUCUCAGAGUUUGAGGCUUCUUUUGCGUAUGCUUUGAUUGCUAGAAAGGGCG
rnacentral:misc_RNA from 1 species